rnacentral:rRNA from 1 species
AUUGAACGCUGGCGGUAGGCCUAACACAUGCAAGUCGAACGGCAGCAGAGUAAAGGUUUGCUCUUACCGGUGGCGUGGGGGAGACGGGUGAGGUGUCCGUCGGACUCUACGAUUUCGUGGGGGAUAUCGUAGGAACACUUACUCUAACACCGCAUACGACCAACGGGUGAAAGCAGGGGAUCUUCGCAUCUUGCCAGAUUGAAUGAGCCGAUGUGGGAUUAGCUAGUUGGCGGGGUAAAGGCCCACCAAGGCGACGAUCCGUAGCUGGUCUGAGAGGAUGACCAGCCACACUGGAACUGAGACACGGUCCAGACUCCUACGGGAGGCAGCAGUGGGGAAUAUUGGACAAUGGGCGCAAGCCUGAUGCAGCCAUGCCGCGUGUAUGAAGAAGGCCUUCGGGUUGUAAAGCCCUUUUGGCGGGGAGGAAAAGAAGAAGGUUAAUACCUCGCUGUACUGACGUUACCCAAAGAAUAAGCACCGGCUAACUUCGUG